rnacentral:rRNA from 1 species
UACGGAGGGGGCUAGCGUUGUUCGGAAUUACGGGGCGUAAAGCGCACGUAGGCGGCUUUGCAAGUUAGAGGUGAAAGCCCGGGGCUCAACUCCGGAAUUGCCUUUAAAACUGCAUCGCUAGAAUUGUGGAGAGGUAAGUGGAAUUCCGAGUGUAGAGGUGAAAUUCGUAGAUAUUCGGAAGAACACCAGUGGCGAAGGCGGCUCACUGGCCCGGUACUGACGCUGAGGCGCGAAAGCGUGGGGAGCAAACAGG